rnacentral:misc_RNA from 1 species
GUAACAAGGUUUCCGUAGGUGAACCUGCGGAAGGAUCAUUACAGUAUUCUUUUUGCCAGCGCUUAAUUGCGCGGCGAAAAAACCUUACACACAGUGUUUUUUGUUAUUACAAGAACUUUUGCUUUGGUCUGGACUAGAAAUAGUUUGGGCCAGAGGUUUACUGAACUAAACUUCAAUAUUUAUAUUGAAUUGUUAUUUAUUUAAUUGUCAAUUUGUUGAUUAAAUUCAAAAAAUCUUCAAAACUUUCAACAACGGAUCUCUUGGUUCUCGCAUCGAUGAAGAACGCAGCGAAAUGCGAUAAGUAAUAUGAAUUGCAGAUUUUCGUGAAUCAUCGAAUCUUUGAACGCACAUUGCGCCCUCUGGUAUUCCAGAGGGCAUGCCUGUUUGAGCGUCAUUUCUCUCUCAAACCUUCGGGUUUGGUAUUGAGUGAUACUCUUAGUUGAACUAGGCGUUUGCUUGAAAUGUAUUGGCAUGAGUGGUACUGGAUAGUGCUAUAUGACUUUCAAUGUAUUAGGUUUAUCCAACUCGUUGAAUAGUUUAAUGGUAUAUUUCUCGGUAUUCUAGGCUCGGCCUUACAAUAUAACAAACAAGUUUGACCUCAAAUCAGGUAGGAUUACCCGCUGAACUUAAGCAUAUCA